AUGGGGCGCUGCCGUUGUGCCCGUGCCAAACCACGACAGGGACACAGGGGACAUGGGGACGGCCAAAGCUCAACCCGUGACCCCAAAAUCCUGACCCUUUGCCCCAAAUUGGGACCCUUUGUCCUUCUCCUCCUGCUCCUGAUGGCGCUCCCAGGGCUCCGGGCCAAAGUGACCCUGCUGGAGCCCGGGGGCACCUCCAGCCCCCCGGGGGUCCCUGCGCCUCCUCUGCCGCGGCUCUGGGUUCGAUUUUGGCAGUUUCGGGAUGGGCUGGAUGCGCCAGAGACCCGGGCAGGGGUUGGAGUGGGUCGCGGGGAUCACCAACAAUGCUGGUUGGACCGGGUACGCGGAUUCAGUCAAGGGCCGGUUCACGAUCUCCAGGGACAACGGGCAGAGCUCGGUGACGCUGACCAUGAACAGCCUCAAGGACGAGGAUUCCGGAUCCUAUUUCUGCGCCAAAGCUUUUUGUGCUGGUUGCUGGGCUGUUGCUAAUCAUGGUGACAAUGCUGGUGAUCGCAUCAAACUUCUGGGUUUUGGUGCACUCCCAUCAUAG